UCCGGAGGGGGCGAGCGUUGUUCGGAAUCAUUGGGCGUAAAGGGCGCGUAGGCGGCCGAUCAAGUCGGAGGUGAAAUCCCUCGGCUCAACUGAGGAACUGCCUUCGAUACUGCUCGGCUUGAGUCCUGGAGAGGGUAGCGGAAUUCCCGGUGUAGCGGUGAAAUGCGUAGAGACCGGGAAGAACACCAGCGGCGAAGGCGGCUACCUGGACAGGUACUGACGCUGAAGCGCGAAAGCUAGGGGAGCAAACAGG
rnacentral:rRNA from 1 species